UACGAAGGGGCAAGCGUUGUUCGGAAUUACUGGGCGUAAAGGGCGCGCAGGCGGCCAGACAAGUCAGAUGUGAAAUCCCCGGGCUUAACCUGGGAAUGGCAUUUGGGACUGCAAGGCUUGAGUGCGGCAGAGGAGACUGGAAUUCCUGGUGUAGCAGUGAAAUGCGUAGAUAUCAGGAGGAACACCGAUGGCGAAGGCAGGUCUCUGGGCUGACACUGACGCUCAUGCACGAAAGCGUGGGGAGCAAACAGG
rnacentral:rRNA from 1 species